UAGGCCUUGCUUUAAGUUUUCAAAAAACAUUUCCUCUCUGGCUGUAAUCUUUCCUCUUUCAAUACUCUCAUUCUUUCUUUUUUCUUCUGCAGUUGUAAGAGUCGAGGGUGUAUUACUAAAUUUCAUUGACAUAUAGUCCUCUACUUCAGAUUCUGAAGACUCCAUCAUUAAUAGCUUUCAUAUACUCCUUUUUUCUUAUUUCAAACGUAAUAUCAAGGGAAAUUUUUCCUCAAUAAUCGAAUUCUUCGUAACAUGGUAGUUCAGUUGUAGGUAAGAGACGAAUAAUGCCUGCAUCGUAUACUGCCAACCAACAGAAAAUUCACUUGGUCAAUAAGUUUGGAAAGUCUUUUUCUAGUUAAGUGCAUUCCUUUUUUUUGCAGCUCCAUCUUUUGUGUAUAACAAUCGAGUAGCUUUAUAAUGAUUUAGAUUUUAAUACGGAAAGAUCAAUUUCGCUCGCGAUAGGUAUGUAGGGAUUGCUUAAAUUUAUAUGCUUUAAGAAACAAAUAAUUGUAGUAAUAUUACUGAGAGGAUGAUGCUAACGUGAAUACACCAAACACA